rnacentral:lncRNA from 1 species
AUUUUUCUUCCCUCUCAGAGUAUUCUGUACUAAAAGUACCUUGUAAUAAUUUUGGGGAUUUUCUUUCUUUGUUUUGUAGAUCAAGAUCAGCUUCUUAUCGCAGGUCCAGGUCAAUCUCUCCUCGUAGGUAUAGAUCAUUUUCACCCCGCAGAUCACGGUCUGGGUCUUUAAGGAGAUCAAGGUCUAGGUCCAGAUCACGCUCGAGAUCCCGGUCUGUUGUAUGGCCCCGAAGCAGGUCUGGGUCCCAUGGUAGAUCUAAAUCUGGCUUACCUGCUAAAAGGUGAGCGUAAAUACAACUAGCACUCAGUUUUUUUGUUUUGUUACAGGUUUUUUGCUUGUCUGUGGGUUUUUUCUUUUCUUUUUUUUUUCUUUUCCCCUCCCCUCACAUGAUGCAAACUCUUUCCUUGGACAACUAUUUCAGUUGCACUUGGAAGAAUUUUUCUGCUCCUCCCCCUUUUUUUAAUGUAGGAUGAGCUGAUUUUUUGUGGCAUGGCAGACUGUUCUUCCCAGAGGGACUGGAUCUC